rnacentral:rRNA from 1 species
AGGGAAUCUUCCGCAAUGGACGAAAGUCUGACGGAGCAACGCCGCGUGAGUGAUGAAGGUUUUCGGAUCGUAAAGCUCUGUUGCCAGGGAAGAACGUCCGUUAGAGUAACUGCUAACGGAGCGACGGUACCUGAGAAGAAAGCCCCGGCUAACUACGUGCCAGCAGCCGCGGUAAUACGUAGGGGGCAAGCGUUGUCCGGAAUUAUUGGGCGUAAAGCGCGCGCAGGCGGCUGUUUAAGUCUGGGGGUUAAUCCUGGGGCUCAACCCCGGGUCGCACUGGAAACAGGGCAGCUUGAGUGCAGAAGAGGAGAGUGGAAUUCCACGUGUAGCGGUGAAAUGCGUAGAGAUGUGGAGGAACACCAGUGGCGAAGGCGACUCUCUGGGCUGUAACUGACGCUGAGGCGCGAAAGCGUGGGGAGCAAAC